GACGGGUGAGUAACGCGUGGGUAACCUGCCUUAUACAGGGGGAGUAACAGUUAGAAAUGACUGCUAAUACCGCAUAAGCGCACAGGAUUGCAUGAUCUGGUGUGAAAAACUACCGGUGGUAUAAGAUGGACCCGCGUCUNAUUAGCUUGUUGGUGAGGUAACGGCCCACCAAGGCGACGAUCAGUAGCCGACCUGAGAGGGUGACCGGCCACAUUGGGACUGAGACACGGCCCAAACUCCUACGGGAGGCAGCAUG
rnacentral:rRNA from 1 species